UACGGAGGGUGCAAGCGUUAUCCGGAUUUAUUGGGUUUAAAGGGUGCGCAGGCGGAAUGAUAAGUCAGUGGUGAAAACCUACAGCUCAACUGUAGACCUGCCAUUGAUACUGUCAUUCUUGAGUACAGUGGAAGUGGGCGGAAUGUAUCAUGUAGCGGUGAAAUGCAUAGAUAUGAUACAGAACUCCGAUAGCGAAGGCAGCUCACUAUACUGUAACUGACGCUCAGGCACGAAAGCGUGGGGAGCAAUCUUC
rnacentral:rRNA from 1 species